rnacentral:rRNA from 1 species
GUGAAAAGCACCCCGGAAGGGGAGUGAAAUAGAUCCUGAAACCGUGUGCCUACAACAAGUCAAAGCUCGUUAAUGAGUGAUGGCGUGCCUUUUGUAGAAUGAACCGGCGAGUUACGAUUGCAUGCGAGGUUAAGUCGAAGAGACGGAGCCGCAGCGAAAGCGAGUCUGAAUAGGGCGAAUGAGUAUGUAGUCGUAGACCCGAAACCAUGUGAUCUACCCAUGUCCAGGUUGAAGGUGCGGUAAAACGCACUGGAGGACCGAACCCACGUACGUUGAAAGUGCGGGGAUGAGGUGUGGGUAGCGGAGAAAUUCCAAACGAACUUGGAGAUAGCUGGUUCUCUCCGAAAUAGCUUUAGGGCUAGCCUCGGAAUUGAGAAUGAUGGAGGUAGAGCACUGUUUGGACUAGGGGCCCAUCUCGGGUUACCGAAUUCAGAUAAACUCCGAAUGCCAUUCAUUUAUAUCCGGGAGUCAGACUGCGAGUGAUAAGAUCCGUAGUCGAAAGGGAAACAGCCCAGACCACCAGCUAAGGUCCCAAAAUAUAUGUUAAGUGGAAAAGGAUGUGGGGUUG